AUUUCUGCUCUGGGGACUGCCUCCCUCCCCUACAUCAGAGCCAGCCCUCAAAAGCUUGGCCAAGCUGACCACUCUGUCUGUGAUCUCUGCCAGAGAGGCUGAAAGAACAUCCAGCCCCACCUGUGGCCCCUUCCCACCUCAGGCUAUAUGACAGUAUGACACCCCACCUAUUUUUUUUCGUUUCCACUGGAAACACUAGUAAAACAAUUUUUCACCCUCUACCCCAGGGAGCGACCCCCACUAAACCAGCUGACUUGUGACCCCUGGGUCAAUUUUGGCCAGAAGAUGCUGCUGACACCAUACAGAGAGCCUGAGCACCUGGGCCCCCUACAAGCCUGGUCAUGGUGCCCCUGGGAUUUCAGGCCCCAUGCAUUUCCGAAUCAGUAUUUCCCCCACAAAAAAAUAUGCAUGUGGCCGGGCGCGGUGGCUCACGCCUGUAAUCCCAGCACUUUGGGAGGCCGAGGCGGGUGGAUCACGAGGUCAGGAGAUCGAGACCAUCCUGGCUAACACGGUGAAACCCCGUCUCUAUUAAAAAUACAAAAAAUUAGCCGGGCGUGGUAGCGGGCGCCUGUAGUCCCAGCUACUCGGGAGGCUGAGGCAGGAGAAUGGCGUGAACCCGGGAGGCGGAGCUUGCAGUGAGCCGAGAUCGCGCCACUGCACUCCAGCCUGGGCGACAGAGCGAGACUCCGUCUCAAAAAAAAAAAAAAAAAAAAAAAAAAUAUAUAUAUAUAUAUAUAUGCAUGUAAUUAUCCAAUGGCCACGUACCUAAUCCUGGGGUACAGGAAAAGUGCAGAGGAAGAAGGGCUCCAUCACUGGAGCACAGUCCCUUCCUCCUGGGGGUCCCACCUGUUCUUCCCCAUCUGACAAAGUCCACCUUCCCCAUGGAACCAAAGAGGGCUCAAAGGGAGCCAGCUGUUCACACUUUUUAAUUUUCAGCUGCCUGAGGAGGGCCAGAAGUCAGGGCAGAAGACCACCAUUCCUGCCCCAGAACUCUUCCUGGGCCUGGGGGUGCCAGUGCCCCACCAUGGACAUAUGGAGCUUCCAUGUCAUUCUCUAUUCCAUGGUGGCUGGGCCCUGCCCUUCUACUCAGGGAGCCCUACAGACCUCAAUAAUAAAACUAUCACAAGAAAAUACCAUGCCCCACCAUUUUUUCCCUUCAACUUGAAAGACUGAUUAAAAAGUUAUUAACACUAGACCCCAGGGAGCAGCCCCCCACUGGAAUAACUGAUGAGGGACCCAUGGGAGAACAGUGGUCGGGAGAUGCCAGUGAUACCAUAUGAAGUGCCACUCCUGGACCACCCGAGCCACAAACAACUCAGCUCAUGAUGGUCAUGGGAUUCCAGGCUGAGAACAUCUCCGUGUCAAUAGUAGAAAGAAAAUUCAACUAUCCCAUGGCCCCAUACCUCAUUUUAGAGCAUCCAAAACAAAAGAGGAAGCACUCUACCCUCAGAGAACUGUCCCUUCCUCCUGGGGUUCCCACCUGUCUUUCCCUAUCCACCGAAGUUUCCACCUUCCUGCUCCCACUGAAAUGGACUCACAGCAAGCCAGCUUGUCACACUUUUAAAAUUCAGCUGCCCAAGGACAGCCAGAAGUCAGGGCAGAAGACCACCAUUCCUGCCAGUGCACCUGCUGGCCUGCAGAGGAAGCCAGACAGUUUUAGUGAAGCCCCCAGCAUGACCCUGUGGCCUCCCCCUCCACUCAGAGCACCAGAAGCAGUGACAGAGACCCAGAAACGUCCCUGGCCCAGCGAGAACCAUCGCAGGAAGCCAGCUUCCUCCAAGCUGGGCAGCCAGAGGCUGUGACGUCAGCCUCACCAAGAAACCAGGGCUGCCGCAGGGCUGCCAGAAGAUGACUUUCAUUUCUGCUAAGAUUCGGUCACUUGAGCCCAGCGCAGAACAUUCCAACCAAUAAAAUCACCCCAAAGAAGUAGUUGGACGGCAGUAGUGAAGACAAAAACCAAAUUGGAGAGGACGAAGGCCCUGAGGUCCAAGAACAUUGAAACCUGACAGUGGAUGCCAACAGCUGCGGGGAGGAGCCUGGUGAGACGCCCACGCUGCCACGUGCCCAGCAACGUUGGAGCCUGCAGCGCUUUUCCUCUGCCCUGCUCUAUUUUAUCUUUUUUAAUAAAGAUGGUUCCUGAUAAA